AGCGAACGCUAGCGGCAGGCCUAACACAUGCAAGUCGAACGAAGUCUUCGGACUUAGUGGCGGACGGGUGAGUAACACGUGGGAACGUGCCUUUAGGUUCGGAAUAACUCAGGGAAACUUGUGCUAAUACCGAAUGUGCCCUUCGGGGGAAAGAUUUAUCGCCUUUAGAGCGGCCCGCGUCUGAUUAGCUAGUUGGUUAGGUAAAGGCUCACCAAGGCGACGAUCAGUAGCUGGUCUGAGAGGAUGAUCAGCCACAUUGGGACUGAGACACGGCCCAAACUCCUACGGGAGGCAGCAGUGGGGAAUCUUGCGCAAUGGGCGAAAGCCUGACGCAGCCAUGCCGCGUGAAUGAUGAAGGUCUUAGGAUUGUAAAAUUCUUUCACCGGGGACGAUAAUGACGGUACCCGGAGAAGAAGCCCCGGCUAACUUCGUGCCAGCAGCCGCGGUAAAAC
rnacentral:rRNA from 1 species